GUCGGCUCGUUAGUCAGUCGUCGUCCACCCGCAAGGCAACAUUUAAUUUUAAUUUUAAGUCACAACUCUCGUCUCGCACUCGCACUUAGAAUUAUACGGCCGAUAUACGGUCAUUCGAACAGUUAAGUCAUACUUAUUUUUAAUUGAACGUAAUUUAUCGCGAACGCAGUGUGGCGUAAUCGAACUUUAACUUUUUUGAUUUUCCCGUUUUGAGAAAGAGUUGCGAAGCCUUAGAACGCGCGUGUGAUCGAAUCGAAUCGAACGGAUUACCGCGAACUAGUGAGAAGAAGGUAAAACAGCUGAUUCACCUGGAAUCGAAUCAUCACGAGAAGCAAGGAAAAAGAAUUCGCACAACUUUUAGUUUUUAUAGUUCACGAAAAGAUACCGAACCCCACUUUGGAUAUGAUUUAAGUUCUUUAAGUUACUUCGAAAUUCAACGAUCCAGUUCCAAACGAGCUCCGAUUAUUCAAGUUAAUUUAAUUUUAAAAAGAAAUAAAACAGUGACUAAAACCAAUUAAAACCAGAAACUUUGAAAAGUGCGAGUGAAAAAUCAAAUCAAAUAAGCCGCUAAAAAGUGUGACGAUAAAAUACCACUCAUUAUCCGAGCAAAUCACAAUCACAACAGUGCAAAGAAAAGCUGAAAAAGGCGACAGAAAUAGAGCGCUGUGGCCGCAACAAAAGUGUUGAAGUGUGUAUCAAACGAGCCAUCCACGCUAAUUCGAGUCAACUAAUCAUCAUCAUCGCGCUCGCCGGUGGGGUACAUACCUACUCCUAACUCGCACGACAUACCGACCUACCCACUGAAGUUAGGUGCUGCUGAAACCAUAGCCGGUCAAUUUACGAACUGAUAGCGGAUUAUUUGCGCUUCGCCAUCCGCUCUCGGAAGAAGCAACACCGCGACAAGUGCGAUUACCACCCGAUAUCGAGGCUUGGAUGAUACAUAAUUAGAUAAGAAGCCGAUUGCACUCUCGAACGGCACCAGAAGCUGAGCAUUACGGUGCACAUUCCGCGUUUCAGUUGUAAUCCGCGAUUGGCGCCAAGCCGAUCAUGUGAUUGUGAUUACUGUCAUAUUUCUGUGAAGAAGAAGUAAAACUCGCUGAAAUCAAUUGAUACUGGAGAGUGCCGAGGAAAAUUGGACCUACUCAACAUUGGAGACACCGUUAACCUAGAGAGUGAAAAUUAAAAUUAAAUGUUCAGAACCUGACCAUGAAGCAAGCAGCAACGCGAAAAGAAAUGGCAGACUGUGAAGGUCUUCAUCAGCAACAACCGAAAGCAGACAACGGAAGUCCCAGCGGUUCAUCUGGUUUAUUGAAAGCGAAAGUGGAACAGAACAGAAACUCAAGUCACACGAGUGACAGUGAAAAGGUAACCUUAUACCUGAGUGGCCAAAAGGCAAGUGAAUAUCAGAGCAAAAUGUCCGAAAAAGUGCGGAAGGACUCUACGGAGUCCAGGGAAGUGGUGGCGAUCCGAAGAAGUGCCAAUGUGAUCAAAUGUGAUAGUGAUAAGGAAAUCAAUUCGCUCAAACGGAAGAAAGUGCCCUCAGUAAGUCACCCAGAAAACGUGAGUGUCGAGGAACAGGAACCAACGUACGCUUCGGUAGUGAAGCAAACAGACAAAGAAAACGUCCAACCGACGACGGCGACUCCUUCGACGUCGGCGUUGGGCGUCAACACGGGAAGUUCAAGCAACAAGCGAAUGAAAAUGGAUCCACUAAAUAGCGGUGAUGGCAAAAUAGUUGCCAGCAAACCGCCCAUUCCGCCGAAACCAGAUGGCACCAGGCCGUCAACGCAUCAUCAUCACAGCAGUAGUGAGAAAGGUACAGGAAAGUCCAAGAAACAGGUCGUCAGCGAUGCACACAAUGCGUUGACGGUCCAGAAGCUGCUUGCUCAGAACGAACAGAUGAGACUGGAGAUCAACGACCUGCGGUCGAACCUGACCACGGAACGAAAUGCUGUGCGGGUUCUAAGGGCCCAAAAUGAAUCGGACCUGCGACGCACCAAAACGGAGAACAAAAAGCUCCAGGAAGCGCUAUCGCACCAGAAACGGCACAGCAGCAGCAGUGGUCCAACGGGUCCCGUAUCAUCGACCAGCUCGGCACCAUCACCGCCGAAGCGACCCAAUCGAGCCGGAACUGGUGUUAGUUCCAGUGCCACCAGUUCGGACGAAAACGUGGGCCAGGCGAACCCGACGACGUCGAUCCACCAGCUCAAUCUGGACAUUCUCAAGCUCAACCAGGAGCUUUCCGCCAUACGAGAGACGAACAAAUUUUUGGAGGAGAAAAUUCAAAUUUCCUCGGAGGCUGAGCGGCGGAAAGCUUCUGACAUUCGAGUGCAAAGGGACCUGCACGAACUACGAUUGACUCAACUCACCAAGUCUGCCAAAAGCGAAAUCCAACGACUGCUGGAGGAGCUGAAAUCCAAAGACCGAAAUAUCGGUCUUCUUCGGAAGGAGAUUUCAGCUCUACAAGGAACUGCGGGAGGAGGAGGAGGAGCACCGAAGAAGGAGCGAAAGGCUGCUAAAAAUUCCGCUCAGCAAUCGCAAGAGAUGCGAAAACUGCGUGAGUCCGAAUCGUCAUGUAGCGGAACAAUCAGCAAGAGCACCAGCCACAGUAGCAUCCAGUCUGUCUGCGACGAGCCGGAACAGAACGCUGAUGCUGACGCUGAUCCGGUAGCAGCCCCGGCCAAGCAGCAGUCAACGACCCUCAACUCUAAUCACAAUCAAUUACCAAUCGCUCCUUCUUCGGAAACGACGACGCACUGCAACAUUGGCGGUGACAGCAGCAGCAGUAUAGACUGUCGUCACCCUACUAGUUAUAAUCCAGCAACGAAACUUGUUAAUACAUACACUAGCCCCUUAGGAUUAGAAACGACGACGUGUGGCGAUGAUGACGGUGCAUCUGAGCCACACGAAUCACGAACAAUGGAAGCUCACAACCACGAUUUGCAUGCUUCUGCUAGAUUAGUAAGCCACCUGAACGACGGAGACGUCCUCAGUCACGCCAGCCCCCCUAGUAGUAAUAGCACCCACAGCAGCGAACCAAGUGUCGUAGUCCAAACCAUGACCACAAACCCCCACACAACACCCCCCAUGAUGACAGCCGGUAGACAGUUGUCCUCCGUAUCGGAUGCCGAUUCUGCCAUAUCAUCGGCGCCGCCAUCGCUUAGCCCGCAGCCCACCGGCUGUCCCAACUCGCCGGAAGUGUGGCGAGCACACAUCCACCUUCAAUCGGCGGCCGACGACCAAAACCAUCUGCAAUCGCUGCGGGACCAAAGUCAACUGAAGGAGAUCAAACUGGAGCUGGAUCGGAUGCAGGCCAAGUACGAUCUGCUCAGCGCGGACUACAGCAAGGCCAAGCAGCAGAUCGACGAUCUCGAGCGGGAGUUGAUGGAGGCGGCGCAAGCUCAGCAGGAGAGAGCCAAGUUCGCCGAACGGAUUGACUAUCUGGUACAGCGAGAGGAAAAUCUGCUUCGAGAGAGUCACGAACUGCGCGAGCAGAAUGAACUGCUCGAAUUCCGGAUCAUCGAGCUGGAGGAGAGCCACGAUAAGUGGUCACUCCGCAGCAAUUCGAGUCCAACGGUCGGCAGCAGCAGCAUCAACGGCAGCACCACAAAGGACGUAUGGACCGACACGGACAAAGAGCACGACGAUUUGAUCAUGCACCACUCGGAACGGUCGGACUCGGGCGUCACGUCGCCCAACAGCCACCAUCACCUGGACGAUCAGCAGACCAGCGGGGUCCCGUCGCCCUGCUGUGACCUCUCGCUGCUGGACCAAAUCCCGACGGAUGACGUGCGGAAGCGCAUCGCCACCAUGACCAAGCGGUCCUGCUACGACGAGGAGGACAAGCUGUGCCUGCUGCAGAUCCUGUCGUUGCUGAACAACUUGGAAGCGCUGUCGCAGGACCACGAGAUCGCCAGCGAGGAUAUGAGCCUGGAGCUGCCGGCGAAGUUCAGCAAUUACACCUUCCCGGAGAGUCACCCGCCGAAGUCCCUGACGGCGACUUCGACGCCAUUCAAGAGUCAACAGGGGAAAAUGGUAGCAACGGUGCAGCCGUUCAGUAGCAACAACGCCUCCCUAACAACCAGCACCACCAGUGAGCCGAAGAGUAUCUCGAUCGCAUCGAUCGCGGAGACUUUCGGAGGAAUGAAGAAGUCCGCCAAGUGGGGAUCAACCAGCUUGCAGGAAAGUGGAGUGUUUGUGGACGAAAUGAUGGUCAGCUGCGUCGGAACGCAAACCGAGGUGGAGGACUUCCCCUGUCUGGAAAAGACCAACGCGGAGCUGUGUGCGGAGAUCGAGAAGCUGAACCGAUUCCGGCAGAAGAUUGAGGAGUGUACGAUCAAGCGCAACGGGAAGAAUCCGGUAGGAGUGAGCUUGUCGCUUCCGGCGGAAUCCUGCGAACAAAGAAGACUGCAGUACUAUGUGAACCGAAUGGAGCAGCUGGAGAACAAAGUCAAGGUGUACGAGAGCAGCGGCGAUCAGCAGUUGAGGCACCUGGCGGAAAGGUUGCAGCGAGAGAUCCAACUGGAAGGUUGGGUGGAUCAGCUGAGCGAGAAGCUUAACAAGCUGGAAGACGAAAACGAAAGACUGGAAGAGGAGAGAUGUGAACUGGAAGAGAUUGAAAAUGACACAAGGUUGCGGUUGCAACGGAUGGAAGUGGACUACGAGAUGAUGAGUCAAAGAAAUACGGAGCUGGAGAUGUCCAAGAGCUCGUAUCAGUCCAAGUACCAGGACGCCAGAGACACCGUGAUAAAUCUGGAAGAGCUUGUGCACAAAUGUGAGGAGAGGAUAUUCGUUCUUGAGGAAACAGAAAACGAACUUAACGAUCGCAUCGAUCUGAUACUAGCGUUCAUUCCGGUACUGUUGAUGUUCAACAGCUGGCAGCUGCAAGAGCAGAUGGCCUCCACCCGGAAGCAAUACGCCAUCAAUGCCAUCCCACCGGAGCACAUCGAGUACUACGAAUCCGCAAACGGAGAUUUACAAAUGAGACUGAACGAUCUGAUGAACCGUGAGAAGGAACUCACGCAAAACAUAGCCGAGUUGAAUCGAGCUUACAAUGAAACCCUGGAGAACGCAGACAAUCUCUGGGCUCAGAUGGAGAAAGAGUACAAAGACAAGAUCUCCAAAUGCGAGACGGUAGAAUCGAACCUCAAAUCGAAGAUCGCUCAGCUGGAAGAGCGGCUGAGUAAGGACAGUGACUACGCUCACGAAAGGAUAUCUCACUUGGAAGAGGCCGAGAACAGUCUCAAGAACCGAGUAUCCAAACUUAACAAAGAGAAUAAAGAUCUGGUAGCCAAGCAUGCGGCGCUCCUGGAAGAAUACUCCACUUUGAAGGACGAAUACCGGAAGCUUCAGAACUACCUCAAAGGAACCGUCGCGGAGAACAUGGAAAGGGAGAAGCGAAAGAUCGUGGCCCUAGAGGAAGAACUCACCUUAUCGACAGCGCUCCUCAAGGAAGCCGAAGAGAAUCACAAAUCGGAAGUUGGCCACAUGCGUGGUAAGCUGGUAAGUGCUACCAAGGAGCUGAACCACAUCGAAGUCACAAACAGCGAACUGAGGGAAGAGGUCGAAACGCUAGAAUGCCGCAUCCGGGAGUUGCUGACGCUGAGAAACUGCGAUGAGGAGCGAAUCAAACACCUCACCGAAGAACUGCAAUCGAAGCAGGCGCAGAUCAGCCAACUUCAGGUACAUCCGUCCCAUAUCCAUCACCACAGAGGAGGCUUUGGACGAAGCCUGGCACAGGAGCUGGAACGACCUGUGAAGGGUUCCUAUUCGAAGCUGGGCUAUGAAAUCCACCCGCUGAGCCGUAGAUUCCCGGGAGAUAGCGACAGCAGUGGAAGUGAGGACAAGGUCAAAUUCCCCAUCGCGAAGACAGCUCCGGAAGCCAAAGAGGUCAAAAGUCUGGCCGAGACCAUUAUCCUGAAUGCCGAAAGUCGAGGCAUUCGUGCGCCAAAGAAAUCGUUUGUCGAGGAGGCCCGUAGCCGUUUUGCCCGUUGGGUUUGAAGUGUGAAUCUCUUUUCAUUGUACAUUGACAUUUAGAGCCUAUAGGUACAGCAAGCAGGUCGACAGUUGAGAAGACGCUACUGAAUGCGCGCUUUCGUCGUUUGGAUGUGUGAAAAAGCCCCAUUUAACAACUCCAUAUCUAAGCAGCCCUUGACCAGAGUCAAUUCACUAGGAAGUGACAAUCAGUUUGUCGGUCUGGGCUACGUUGAUACCAUGAUCAUCUAAAGUGCCUUACAGUUAAGUCAUUUAGAAGUUUGGACACACUCCAGCGAAAGCAGCAUUCGACAUGGAAAAGUAGCAGGCCAGCAAAUUGCAAAAACCAGAAAAACCCGAAAAAUUCAUCACUCCGACGCAGUCGCAGCAGGCGUCGCCGCCGCCCUUGAAGAAGAAAAUGAUUCUAGUCGUUCACUUUGUUAAAUAUUAAUUUUGUACAUCAUACAAUCCCCUGUAGGAUAAGAGAAGGACAACUUUGUCAGCACCCGUCAUGGCAACAAACACCUAUUUAAGCAUACCGCCCGCACCAAUCCACGACCAUUACAUUAGAAACACAAACAAGCAAAAAAAAAGAAGAAAACUCGAAACUGAACGAAACGAAUCGUGUGGCGCAACUGCGCUAGCGCCACACCGAUGACGAAUGGUUUAAUUUCUUUUUGGAAAUUACACUACCCCCGACGACCCCCCAUGACACAACAAGCUUUCAAGAUUGAGUUUGUUCGAUCCCCAAAACUGCCCAGUCAGAAAUUCGUAGACACACUUGGUUUGCAUCAUUAUUUCCCAGUUACACAAAUAAUUAUGUUAAGCUUGCACUUUACUUCGUACUUUUUUUAUUUUUGUUCUUCGUUGUUUAGUUUAUGGUGUCCCGCCACCCCUUCUCUACUGUACAUAGCCGGAAGCCACACGUAAGUUUAGGUUUUAUUUUGUAGUACAAUUUACUUUGUAGUGACUGCUUUGAUUUCCUCUGAGGAAAGUUUUGAUUUUAUUUGGUUUUGUCUUAAUUUUCGUUUCCUUUUCUUCAAUUUUACGGAAGUUUUCACCGAAUGACCUCUCUAAAAACGGAAAUUGUUAUUUAUUUUUUUCGUUGAAAUUUACAAAUCUCUAUUUUGAGUCUAAAACGAAAGCAAUGCAUCUGUUCAGCUGCAUGUGCAUGUUCAAAAUGCAUGAUAGAACCAUUAGAAUUGUGGAAACUAGUAGACAGCCACGUGUCAGUGGAUAGACUAAUUGGUGAGCUUCCACAUUGUUUGAAAAUAUACUCAAAACAACAGAUAAACAGCAAAAAAAAACAUGUUAGAAACAAAUCCCAAUGUAACGGACACAUCAACAAGCAAUUGUAGAAACAGAAUGUAAUAAUAUAUUGAAACUUUAUUAGAAA